rnacentral:rRNA from 1 species
UGAGGAAUAUUGGUCAAUGGACGCAAGUCUGAACCAGCCAAGUAGCGUGCAGGAUGACGGCCCUAUGGGUUGUAAACUGCUUUUAUAUGGGGAUAAAAUGGGGAACGUGUUCCCUUUUGCAGGUACCAUAUGAAUAAGGACCGGCUAAUUCCGUGCCAGCAGCCGCGGUAAUACGGAAGGUUCGGGCGUUAUCCGGAUUUAUUGGGUUUAAAGGGAGCGUAGGCCGUUUGGUAAGCGUGUUGUGAAAUGUAGGAGCUCAACUUCUAGAUUGCAGCGCGAACUGUCAGACUUGAGUGCGCACAACGUAGGCGGAAUUCAUGGUGUAGCGAUGAAAUGCUUAGAUAUCAUGAAGAACUCCGAUUGCGAAGGCAGCUUACGGGAGCGCAACUGACGCUGAAGCUCGAAGGUGCGGGUAUCGAACAGG